rnacentral:rRNA from 1 species
UACGUAGGGUGCAAGCGUUAAUCGGAAUUACUGGGCGUAAAGCGUGCGCAGGCGGUUCGGCAAGAAGGAUGUGAAAUCCCGGGGCUUAACCUCGGAACUGCAUUCUUAACUGCCGGGCUAGAGUAUGUCAGAGGGGGUAGAAUUCCACGUGUAGCAGUGAAAUGCGUAGAGAUGUGGAGGAAUACCAAUGGCGAAGGCAGUUUUCUGGCAUGAUUCUGACGCUCAUACACGAAGGCUAGGGGAGCAAACAGGAUUAGAUAU